UACGUAGGGUGCAAGCGUUGUCCGGAAUUAUUGGGCGUAAAGAGCGUGUAGGCGGCCCGAUUAGUCCGCUGUGAAAGUCCAGGGCUCAACCCUGGAAUGCCGGUGGAUACUGUCGGGCUAGAGUCCGGAAGGGGCGAGUGGAAUUCCCGGUGUAGCGGUGAAAUGCGCAGAUAUCGGGAAGAACACCCGUGGCGAAGGCGGCUCUCUGGGACGGUACUGACGCUGAGACGCGAAAGCGUGGGGAGCGAACAGG
rnacentral:rRNA from 1 species